UCAUUAAAUCAGUUACAAUCCAUUGGAUAUUAAAUAUCUACAUGGAUAACUGUGGUAAUUCCAGAGCUAAUACGUGCAACUUGCCUUGACCUCACGGAAUAGGUGCACAUUAUUAGACCAAGACCAAUGGGACUCUUCGGAGCUCCUUGCGAAUGGUGACUCUGGAUAAUUACGCUGAUCGCAUGGCCUCUGUGCCGGCGAUGAGUCCACUGAGUAACUGCCUUAUCAACUAGAUGGUAGGUUAAACGCCUACCAUGGUUGUAACGGGUAACGGGGAAUCAGGGUUCGAUUCCGGAGAGGGAGCCUGAGAAACGGCUACCACAUCCAAGGAAGGCAGCAGGCACGCAAAUUACCCACUCUUAGCACGAGGAGGUAGUGACGAAAAAUACCGGUACGGGACUCUUAGGAGGCCCCGUAAUCGGAAUGAGUACGAUCCAGCAGCCGCGGUAAUUCCAGCUCCAAUAGCGUAUAUUAAAGUUGUUGCGGUUAAAAAGCUCGUAGUUGGAUCUCAACUCAUGUCAGGUGGUCCACCUCACGGUGGUUACUGCCUGACUGAGUUACCUGUGGAUUCGUCUCUUGAUUCUCUUAACCGAGUGUCUUGAGCGAUCUACUCGUUUACUUUGAACAAAUUAGAGUGCUUAAAGCAGGCAUCUCGCCCGAAUAAUCUUGCAUGGAAUAAUAGAAUAGGACUUCGGUUCUAUUCUGUUGGUCUUCGGAUCCGAAGUAAUGAUUAAGAGGGACAGACGGGGGCAUUAGUAUUGCGGCGCUAGAGGUGAAAUUCUUGGACCGUCGCAAGACUAACAACAGCGAAAGCAUUUGCCAAGAAUGUUUUCAUUAAUCAAGAACGAAAGUUAGAGGUUCGAAGGCGAUCAGAUACCGCCCUAGUUCUAACCAUAAACGAUGCUAACCAGUGAUCAGUAUGAGUACUUUUAAGGACUCUACUGGAAACUUCCCGGGAAACCAAAGUUUUUGGGUUCCGGGGGAAGUAUGGGUGCAAAACUGAGCACCACCAGGAGUGGAGCCUGCGGCUUAAUUUGACUCAACACGGGGAAACUCACCCGGCCCGGACACUACGAGGAUUGACAGAUUGAGAGCUCUUUCUUGAUAUAGUGGGUGGUGGUGCAUGGCCGUUCUUGUUGGUGGAUCGAUUUGUCUGGUUAAUUCCGAUAACGAACGAGACUCUGACUUAUUAAAUAACACAUCAUCUCCUUCGGGCGAUGAUGAGCUUCUUAGAGGGACAGGCGGCGUUUCAGCCGCACGAGAAAGAGCAAUAACAGGUCUGUGAUGCCCUUAGAUGUCCGGGGCCGCACGCGCGCUACACUGAAGUGUUCAGCGUGCAUUUGUUACCUACUCCGAAAGGAGUGGGUAACCCUGGGAAAUCUCUUCGUAAUUGGGAUAGGGCAUUGUAACUAUACCCUUGAACGAGGAAUUCCCAGUAAGCGUGAGUCAUCACCUAGCGUUGAUUACGUCCCUGCCCUUUGUACACACCGCCCGUCGCUACUACCGAUUGAAUGAUUUAGUGAGGUCUUCGGAUUGGAUAGUGCAGUUCUCUUCGAGAGCAGCAUCUAACUGAGAAGAUGACCAAACUUGAUCAUUU
rnacentral:rRNA from 1 species